GCCACCCCACCUCUCCCAUUUUCUCCAUUUAAGGAACCCCAUGAAAGCUUGAUUCAAGCUUUUCAAAACCCUCAUUUAGGCCAUAAUUUCCCUAAUCCACUAAAUUAAACCUUGAUUUAGCACCUUAGUUCAACUAUUAAUCAAGAAAAGGAAGGAAGAAAAAUAGAGAUUUGAAGAUUGGAAAUUCAAAGAAGGAGUUGAAAAAGACCUAGAAGAUAUAAGGGACUGAGUCAAGGCCUAGAGGCGACUCAUGUCAGAUAGAGAAAAGGACAUAGCAGCAGAGCGAGCUGCUACAGUUAGAGAGGAGAACAAUUGAAGAAUUUUUGUACGGGUAUUUGUCUAUACCCUGGUAGUUUAGUUUGAUGUAAAUAUGAUAGUAUGCAUAUGUAUCUCUGUAAUUUGAGCAGUUGCACAGAUAAAAUUGUAAUAUUAUUAUUUUUGAGAUUUUGCAUCUGUAAAAUUAACUUAUGAUUGUAAAUUAAUGAUUUAAAAUACAA